AGUAACUUUCUUCUCAUCAGGAGUGUGCUGUACUUUAGAAGGCUCAUCCCCAGAAGUUGUAGCAGGACCAUUCACUGCCUUUUCAGAAGGGCUGUUUUCAUCAAUAGCAUCUUUUGCCUUGAAAAAACAAAACCAGGAUGAUAUUAUACAGUCUCAGUAAGUUUCACUCUUGCUCAAUCACAGUUCUGCAGUAGGAAACACCUCUUGCCAGCCUGUGCUAGUACUCUGCCAUUGGCAAGGAAAGAACGCCAAGGUAACCCUGAGGCAGCACAGUCCCAGCAGACACAGAACGCUUCAUUUGUCUAACCCAAUGAAGAAACUACCUGACAAGUGGAGUUUCACACCCCUUUUACUGUCUAUUUUAAGAGUAGGUUUUGUUAAUCAUACAGCAGUGGAUUUUAUUUUGCUAACCUCAGACAUAACUUGUGUUAGCAAGUUCAGUUUCACUUCAGGAGUAAAGGAAUCCUGAUAUGGAUAUUAUUUUUUAUGAUCUUUAACACCACUCUGAUACCUGAAGAAGAACAGGUCUCAAAUCUACAAUCUUUGUAAUAUUAUUUCUUUCUAAAAUGGUUUGUACCAGUCACUGAAUGUGCUUUCUAGCAUCUUCGAUUCAUAGUAUGUUCUAGGGAUUACUUUUCAGGACUCAUCCAUGGGUAAUUUUUACAUUUUAUCAUAUAGUGUUACAUUAUUAAGUGCAGUACUUUAAAAUGUGUGAAGACUUAGUUUGAGCAUAAAGUCUGCAAUGGCAGUCUGUAAGUCAAUAGCAGUUCUGUUUACUCUGGGCCAUUUUUGCUUUUAAUGAUUUAUUCUUGAACCCAAACACAGUUCUAGUCAAGUGUGAACAAUCUAAAUGAAGCAUUCCUUUACUGUUUUGCUGCAAGAGAUGAGGAAAAUAGAAAAUAUGCAUUAAAAAAAAAAAGGAAAAAAAUAAAAGAUCUUACCGUUUCUUUCUUGGUUUUGGCUAGUGUCUCCUUUGGAGGGUUUCUCUGUCUACUCUGAGAUUCAGCUCGUGAUAUAUAAUCAGCUACUGUUACUGUUUAAGGAAAAAAAUUACAGUGAUGCUCACAUCAGAAUUCUCAUUAAGCUUCACAUCUCUUUUCUGUAUAAGCUAUGCUAUAACUGGGGACAUCUCACAAAAGGCCUUCAUACAGGUAUCAACUACAUAGCAAGGAUCAAUUUGGUUCUGUUAAAUAUAGCUUUCAGUAAAAUCUGUGGUGAGGUGCUGAUCUGGAGGUGGAAUCUUAAAGUAACUAAAUUAGUAAUUUUGUCCCAGUUGUAAAUUUUACUGGGGCUUUCUGGAUUGGGCUUGAAGAGAUCAGACUGUAGGCUCUUUAAACGACUGUGUUUGUCAUUGGGGUUUUACUAUCUCGAGUAACAAAGAAUUUCAUACUAAUGAAGGGAAGUUAAAAUAUGAAAGGAACUGGGGGAGGGUCAGAGUAACCACUUACAAUAAUGCAGCAUUCAAAUCUUUCUUUUUUUUAUGAAGCGACUGGCAAGAGAACUCACCCUCCUCCUGGCAUUCAGAAUGCAAUCCGCACAGUUAACUCUGGCUGGUGGGUGGGUGACUGGGGUAAUUGUGGUGUGUGUACGGACACUUGGCAGCUCUGCAUGAGCGAGCCCAUACUCAAAGGCAGGACAGCCAUGCCUGGGCUGUUAUGGCUACACUUAAUGAAUGCUGGUCAGGGCUUUGCUGACCCCUUUUUUGUCAUGCAGCCUGGGGUUUGCCCUAUCCCACCCUCUUGUAACCACACCACCUGGGAGUCAACUCUGUCUUUACAGUAUGUCAUACUACCGAUUUACAUACAUGCUUGUACCUUCAAUGAGAUACAGCACAUUAGAAUUGGCAAGCAUUGUCUGUUGAACAGCACAGUCUGUUGCAUGUAGUAUAUCAUGCACUCAGGUGAACUGUUUUUCUGGCUUUAGGAAUGACGGUGCAUGAAACCUACAUCAGAACAGGAAGCACAACACAGGAAUUUCCCCAUUAUGCUAAGUGGACUUCUUACAACUGGCUCCUUUUAUCAUGACCAAGAUCAAGUGACUUCCUUCGCAAGGAGAGCUUUUUCAUUAAAAUGAGGUUCUGUACCCAGCUCCUGUGAUGUAAAGGUGCACCUUUACAUCACAGUGCACCUUUUAUGCACAGUGUCAGACACCAGUUCUUAAUAGUCAUAUACAUAAUAGGAACUCAAAACAUGUAACAAUGUAAAUCAAAUAAUGAAACCAAAGGACUGGACUACACUGUUAGCACCAGGGGAGUUCCUCCUGUCUUGAAGUCCUCUUGCUAUACACUUACUAAGUAUUUAUGAAGAGAUUAAUUUUUUUAGAGCAUUUUUCACAGAGACAGUAUAACUGACUACCAUUGCUCUUACUGUUGCAUUUAAAAAUAUUUAUUAUGCAAACUGAAAAUGGUAUCUUGAACAAAGACAACAACAAGGGGGAAAAAGGACAAAAGAGAAAUUGUCUUUGGGAAAUCCUGUUCUUUGAAUACUUGGAUUUAAAAGAUGAAUACCACAGCUUUCUGGAAGGAUGACCAAUAUCUCAUUAUAUUGCUGGCUGAAAUUAGCUUCUUAACAGUUGUCAUGGUUUCAGCUGAAAUCCAUUUUUACUUUUUCCUGCCCCUUUAUGAACUCCUAUGACUGUUACAAAACCAGAUGUUGAAAAGUAAAGGGUUACUUUUGGUUUGGAUGGUUUUUUUAGUGGGUGAUGGGGGGUGGUGGGUAGGGUGGUGGUGGUGUGUGUUUGGGGUUUUUUCUUUUCCUUUCACCAAGUUUUGGUUAGUGUAAUAUAACAACUUUUUUUCUUCUGAAACAAAUGUUGUAUGAGCACCACAGAUGGAAGACAAAUAUGGGUGCAAUUCUGAACCUGUCAGUCUAGAAGACCUUCUGUUACUACCUCACGCCAUGGAUGCUGUAUCAGACUCUGUCAUCCCAUCCAUAAGAACAGCAUCUUCAUCAGUCCUUCGCCGACGUGACCUCCUGCGGCGGUUACUACUGUGGCAUUUUGUUGCUAUUUCUAGGCAACUGCUCAGAAAUUCCCAGGCACAACUUUGCCACCUUAGAGCGGAUGGCUGUUGCUUAGCAACCUCUUCUGCCUGUUGGGAUGCUGCCUUGAACAACUGAACCAUUUGUAUUCAACAGCAUCUGGAAUAUCUUGCCCUCUCUGAGGAACUCUAGCAGAAGAGGGUCUGAAACCCAUACCAAUCUGACGCAACUGCUCAUCAAUCUGGAGCCUUUCCAGUCUUAGUUGUUCCACCUCCUACAGGAAAGGAAACGAAACCAAUUGCUGAUAAAGAAACAUUCUUCUCCCUAACAAAAUACCAGUCAUCCCAAAAGCCAGUGUGCCUGUGGGAAAGUUAACACCACUUUGAAGGUGACUACAAAUAGUGGAAUUGAGAUCAGUUCUGCAGUCUCUGAGUUUUGGAUGAACCUAAAACCUUUCUGUUAAAUCACAACACAGAAAGACUGUUUUAAAGACUAUUAUUACCUUCCUUAACUAUACUUCACAUUUUCACAGAAUCACAGAAUGGUUUGGGCUGGAAAGGACCUUAAGAUCAUCAAGUUGCAACCUACCUGCCAUGGGCAGGGACGCCUCACCCUAAACCAUGUUGGUUUGUCCAACCUGUCCAUGAACACUACCAGAGAUGAAGCAUUCAGAACUUUGGGCAGUUCUUCCUUAUAUCUAACCUGAACUUCCUUGUGUAAGUUUGAACCCAUUACUCCUUGUCCUGUCACUACAAUCCCUAAUGAGGACUUUCUCUCCAGCAUCUUCGUAGGCCCCAUUCAGGAUUAACACUUUUUUACAAAGUUACAAAAAUUACAAAAAAAAAAAAA